UACGGGGGGGGCAAGCGUUGUUCGGAAUUACUGGGCGUAAAGGGCUCGUAGGCGGCCGACUAAGUCAGACGUGAAAUCCCUCGGCUUAACCGGGGAACUGCAUCUGAUACUGGAUGGCUUGAGUUCGGGAGAGGGAUGCGGAAUUCCAGGUGUAGCGGUGAAAUGCGUAGAUAUCUGGAGGAACACCGGUGGCGAAGGCGGCAUCCUGGACCGGCACUGACGCUGAGGAGCGAAAGCCAGGGGAGCAAACGGG
rnacentral:rRNA from 1 species